CCAUAAAGUUUGAAUUAAUUUAAUCGGAAGAAACUUAUAAUCCAUUUCGAUUCAUAUAGUUCGAAUCGAAUGAGGAGCAUAGUCCAAGCCUUCGUUUUAGUCUCCCCUGCCUAAUCCCAUUGCCGAACGGCUGCCCAUCACUCAAGAAGCCAUGGAAGAUCACGGGACCUUGCCGGAGAAUAGGGCCCACGAGCUCAUGCCCAUUGUCCCCACAUUAUCGGAAAAUCGUUUAUGAUAUAAAGAAUCGGCGUCGCAAUCGCCCCCUCUACGCGAUACCAUUUUUCAAGAAGGUCGCAGUUGAGUGGCUGAUCGGAGAGAAGACUUCCGAUGAGGACGGCGACGCCCGUGGCGGAGGGUAUCGGAAGCAUUUGGAGUUUUGAUGCAGAAGUUGGAUUUUUAUGAGUUCUCCUGCCAGGCGAUACUGCAAUCAACCAUGAGGCACCAACCCAAAACAUAUAAUAAGAUUUUGCUCCAUUCUGUCUAAAAGUCGUUAUAUGGCUUUCUGCCAACAGAUAAUUGAUAUUAAUAAGUUCAAUCAUUGGAGAGAAUGAAAGAAGUUUGCUUGGUUAUGAGGAUUCAAGACGUGGAUCGAUGCCAAAUAUUACAUUCCUAGGAGGUUGACAUCCAACCAACCCUGGGGCCAUUUAAGAGCUCAACGGUACCACCCUGGCUCCAUCUCUUCCACAUCAUUUAUGUAUCUCUGGGGAGUUUUGUCAUUUCUACUAGCUCGUAUCCUCGAAGAAAUGACAUCUUCAACCGUUCUAAAAGACGAACAAUCUACAGGGAGAAAGAAAGAAAAACAAACUACUCGAACAUCAUUUGAACAAAGAAUACGGCUCGAAAAUUAAACUUCCAAACUGUGUGAAAUUGAAAGCAAAGUUGCUAAUAGUACAAAAGAAGAGUAAUGGGGCUGGCCUGAUCUCUUCCAUUGAAAGCCAUUAUUCCACUGUUUGUGUAUGGCUGGCUAUGGCGUGUGUUUCUGCUCUGCCCAGAAGAAACUGAAGCAAAGGACUGGUUUAAAGCCCACACCUCAGAUCUUAUAUAUAAAAUAUUAUUUUGAGAUUGUCAGUUCUUUAUUUUUAAUUAUUGUCAUAAAUGAAUAAAAUAUUGUUUGGACUUUGGUGUAUCAAUAAUUGAUGAUCCACUUUAUGCAAUUGCAGAA